rnacentral:rRNA from 1 species
CUCAGUAACACGUGGAUAACCUGCCCUUAGGACUGGCAUAACCCCGGGAAACUGGGGAUAAUUCCGGAUAGUUCAUGGUAGCUGGAAUGCUCCAUGAUCGAAAGCUAUUGCGCCUAAGGAUGGGUCUGCGGUCUAUCAGGUAGUAGUGGGUGUAAUGUACCUACUAGCCGACGACGGAUACGGGUUGUGGGAGCAAGAGCCCGGAGAUGGAUUCUGAGACAUGAAUCCAGGCCCUACGGGGCGCAGCAGGCGCGAAAACUUUACAAUGCGGGAAACCGCGAUAAGGGGACACCGAGUGCCAGCAUCUUAUGUUGGCUGUCCGCAUGUAUAAAUCACAUGUGUUAGCAAGGGCCGGGCAAGACCGGUGCCAGCCGCCGCGGUAACACCGGCGGCCCGAGUGGUGGCCACUAUUAUUGGGUCU